GGAGUGGUAUCGUAAAGCUUGGUGACCCUAGCUGCUCCUGAAAUGGAGCGGGAUAGAUUGAAAUCGGGGCCCAGGGUGAGCCGCUUU
rnacentral:sRNA from 12 species